GUCCACAGCCAUACCACCAUGAGUGUGCCCGACCUCAUCUGAUCUCAGAAGCUAAGCAGGGUUGGGCCAGGUUAGUACUUGGAUGGGAAAAAAGCUAACCAAUCCCUUUGAAUA
ensembl:rRNA 5S_rRNA 5S ribosomal RNA